CGAUUGAACGCUGGCGGCAUGCCUUACACAUGCAAGUCGAACGGCAGCACGGGGGCAACCCUGGUGGCGAGUGGCGAACGGGUGAGUAAUACAUCGGAAUGUACCCAGUAGUGGGGGAUAACUAGUCGAAAGAUUAGCUAAUACCGCAUACGCACUAUGGUGGAAAGCGGGGGAUCGCAAGACCUCGCGCUAUUGGAGCAGCCGAUGUCCGAUUAGGUAGUUGGUGGGGUAAAAGCCUACCAAGCCUGCGAUCGGUAACUGGUCUGAGAGGACGACCAGUCACACUGGGACUGAGACACGGCCCAGACUCCUACGGGAGGCAGCAGUGGGGAAUUUUGGACAAUGGGGGAAACCCUGAUCCAGCAAUGCCGCGUGUGUGACGAAGGCCUUCGGGUUGUAAAGCACUUUUGGCGGGAACGAAACGGCGCUUUCUAAUACAGAGUGCUAAUGACGGUACCCGCAGAAUAAGCACCGGCUAACUACGUG
rnacentral:rRNA from 1 species